AUACCGGCUGCUCGAGUGAUGGCCACUAUUACUGGGUUUAAAGCGUCCGUAGCUUGACUGUUAGGUCUCUUGGGAAAUCUUUUGGCUUAACCAAAAGGCGUCUAAGAGAUACCGGCAUUCUUGGAAUUGGGAGAGGUAAGCCGUACUUCGGGGGUAGGAGUGAAAUCUUGUAAUCCUCGAGGGACGACCUAUGGCGAAGGCAGCUUACCAGAACAGCUUCGACAGUGAGGGACGAAAGCUGGGGGAGCAAACGGGAUUAGAUACCCCGGUAGUCCCAGCCGUAAACAAUGUGCGUUAGGUGUGUCGGUUACCACGCGUAACUGAUGCGCCGAAGAGAAAUCGUGAAACGCACCACCUGGGAAGUACGGUCGCAAGGCUGAAACUUAAAGGAAUUGGCGGGG
rnacentral:rRNA from 1 species